ensembl:lncRNA
CUCAGGCCCUCUGGCAACUCAGGCCCUCUGGCAACUCAGGCCCUCUGGCAACUCAGGCCCUCUGGCAACUCAGGCCCUCUGGCAAAUCAGGCCCUCUGGCAAAUCAGGCCCUCUGGGAUCUCUGUUGUUUGAGUUUCUGGCUAGUAGUAAGCCUAGGUAGUGUUCUCCUGAAGUUGGGAGAAGCUAGUUGGAUGCACUCUGUGGGCAAAUCUUAAAUCUCAGCCCUCUAUGGCUCUGGUGAAAAGUAGUGCACUAUAUUGGGAAUAGGGUGUACUUUGACAUUUUAGGAAAAGUGGACAAAUGAAGGGCGAAUCUUCAAUUUUUGUUCAGCUGCAAUAAUUUUCCCCCUCUUCUUUCCCUCCUUCUCUAUCCCUCACUCUCUCUCUACAUCAGGAAGCAGUUGGAGUUUGUUUUCUGUAGGAAAAAAAAGUAUUACGAGAGAGAGGGGGAGGAAGGGAGAGGGGGAGAGAUUUUGCUGAAGGACCAAAAUAUAAGUGAAAACACAUUUAGAAUGGAAACAACCUUCAAGGGGAUUUGAUCAGCCAGUCUGUUUCCAGAUAUGUGUUAGAAAACAUUCAAGAAAGUAUAUCAAAUGUACAUGCAUAAACAACAUGUGCUCUGUGGAUAAGCAAACUCUUAGCAUCGGCUUUUAAAUCAAAUAAAAAUGAACCAGAAACGUGAAAAUGGUCCAUUCUGUAACCACUAGUUUGGACACCGUCCUUGCUUUACCCUGUAAGUAUUUCACAUGAAGAGGACUGGUUUCCAGUGAAUCCUCAAAGUUGCAUCUCUUCAUGCUGCUUCUGUACGGCUCCACACAAGCGAGAACACGGGUUACUGUGGUUAAGCACAAGCUUACCUUCCACUUAUGAUAUCGUCAUGCCUUUUCAAUCUGUGUGUUUGUUUUUAUACACAUUUUCUCGUGUGCAUAAACUGUUUUUUCUCAACAUUCUCUUCCUGCAUCGGGACUCCUAGCCAAUGGGAUGGAUCCAGAAUGCUGUGAUGUAAAUACUAUCAGAGUGUCGUGGUAUGUUCUUUACACUAGAAUGUCAAUGGAAUGCACUUGAAAUGUUGACAUGUUUUGUUGUACAAAAUGAUGAUUAUUUUUUAACGUGUGGAUAUUUAAACAAAUAUUACAUUACUACUUGCAGUUAUGUCAAUGUUUAUUCUUAAAAAAUAAAAUGAAGCAAUAAAUGAAAAA